AAGUCGUAACAAGGUAACCGUAGGUGAACCUGCGGUUGGAUCAUUACCGAAAGCGAACUGAAACUCCGCACUUGGAAAAAUGCGAUGUUUCCAAACCCUCGCUCACCUUUUGUGAACCGUACUGUCUCUGGCGGCGGGGUGCGGGUGGACUUGUGCUCGGGCGCAUUCCCCUCACCUGUCAGCUUGUGGGCCUCUUAUAAGGGGCCCACUCGCCGUGGACAAGCCGCCAAAUGUGUCUCGAAACCUGCCAUGUGUUUAACACUUACUGUCUUAUGUAUUUACGUACAAUAGCUUAACAACUUUUGGCAACGGAUCUCUUGGCUCUC
rnacentral:misc_RNA from 1 species